rnacentral:lncRNA from 10 species
ACUCCCAGCUUCUGCCCAGGUGGGGUUACCUGGAAAAAAAGAUGCAUGCUCUGAGCCCUUCCAGGGCAGGAGCUGUGCUCUGGUCAUCCUCGUACCUGCCUAGUCACCUUGCCUGGCACAUGGCAGGGGUCAGUGGGUGCUGGGCUGCAGGAAGCUGAGGCCAUUUCACAUCUUCUGGUGGGGCCUCAGGCCCAAGCUGUUCUCUCAGAGGAACCUUGGUCUGUCCUGGUCUCAUCCUAGGUGGUGGCCUCUGCACUGUGGGACUGCAGUAGGCACAGUACUGGGGUUUGAGGACAGUCACAACCUCCGGAUUUGACAUCAUCUUUGGCUUCAGAGACAAGAAACCGAGCUCGACGCAAGAAGAAGUAGCUGGAGCCCCAGCCCUGAGGUCCCUGCCACUGCCUACUUAGCUCCUCACUCCUGGGCUUGAGGGUCCCAGGCUGGAGAGGACAAAGGGCUUGCCCCAUUCCCAGGUCUUCCUGCACAGGCCUACAGGGGCCACCACCCAUCUUC